UACAGAGGGUGCUAGCGUUGUUCGGAAUCAUUGGGCGUAAAGGGCGUGCAGGCGGUUUGUUAAGUGCAGGGUGAAAGCUCCCGGCUCAACUGGGAGAGGUCCUUGCAUACUGGCGAACUCGAGGGAGGUAGAGGAAAGUGGAAUUCCCGGUGUAGUGGUGAUAUGCGUAGAUAUCGGGAGGAACACCUGUGGCGAAGGCGGCUUUCUGGGCCUUACCUGACGCUGAGACGCGAAAGCGUGGGGAGCGAACCGG
rnacentral:rRNA from 1 species